rfam:Desulfotomaculum sp. 46_296 MPI_scaffold_720, whole genome shotgun sequence.
GGGGGCGAAAUGGGUUCGACGGGGGAAAUAGGGACAGAAGAAGCGAGCCGGGGUUCCAUCAGCCCGUAAAAACGGUGGAAAAACUAUAAUUGCCAAUAACGAAUACGCUUUAGCUGCUUAAAUGCAGUUAACCUCCUACCCGUGCCGGGCCCGUGGCCCGGGCAAGGGGGUCAUUAAAACGGGCUGGUUUAAGUUCAAUUCUCGGAGAAUUUAAACAAGAUGCAUCGAGAUAGCGCCGAAGGAGCCCGGCUGUGGGCGCUCUAGGAGUGAAACACAAAGCGCAGCCUGCGCUCGGAGAAGCUUCUGUAACUGUUCUUUCGGACGGCGGGUUCAACUCCCCCCGCCUCCACCA